rnacentral:rRNA from 1 species
AUGAACGCUGGCGGCGUGCCUAAUACAUGCAAGUCGAGCGAACAGACGAGGAGCUUGCUCCUCUGACGUUAGCGGCGGACGGGUGAGUAACACGUGGAUAACCUACCUAUAAGACUGGGAUAACUUCGGGAAACCGGAGCUAAUACCGGAUAAUAUAUUUAACCGCUUGGUUCAAUAGUGAAAGACGGUUUUGCUGUCACUUAUAGAUGGAUCCGCGCCGCAUUAGCUAGUUGGUAAGGUAACGGCUUACCAAGGCAACGAUGCGUAGCCGACCUGAGAGGGUGAUCGGCCACACUGGAACUGAGACACGGUCCAGACUCCUACGGGAGGCAGCAGUAGGGAAUCUUCCGCAAUGGGCGAAAGCCUGACGGAGCAACGCCGCGUGAGUGAUGAAGGUCUUCGGAUCGUAAAACUCUGUUAUUAGGGAAGAACAAAUGUGUAAGUAACUAUGCACGUCUUGACGGUACCUAAUCAGAAAGCCACGGCUAACUACGUG